rnacentral:rRNA from 1 species
AUUGAACGCUGGCGGCAGGCCUAACACAUGCAAGUCGAGCGGAGCGGCGGACGGGUGAGUAAUGCCUAGGAAUCUGCCUGGUAGCGGGGGAUAACGACCGGAAACGGGCGCUAAUACCGCAUACUAUCAGAUCAGCCUAGGUCGGAUUAGCUAGUUGGUGGGGUAAAGGCGUACCAAGGCGACGAUCCGUAACUGGUCUGAGAGGAUGAUCAGUCACACUGGAACUGAGACACGGUCCAGACUCCUACGGGAGGCAGCAGUGGGGAAUAUUGGACAAUGGGCGAAAGCCUGAUCCAGCCAUGCCGCGUGUGUGAAGAAGGUCUUCGGAUUGUAAAGCACUUUAAGUUGGGAGGCGUUACCUGCAGAAUAAGCACCGGCUAACUACGUGCCAGCAGCCGCGGUAAUAC